rnacentral:rRNA from 1 species
AGAGAUUCUUAGACUGUCGAGGUGACACAGGGAGGUAGUGACAAGUACUGUCAGAGGUGAAAUUCUUAAACUGGCGCCGGCAACCGCGGUAAUUCCAGCUCCAAAAGCGUAUAUUAAACUUGUUGAAGUUAAAAAGCUCGUAAUUGAAUUUUUGCUGUUUUUUUGACUGCGCUUGGCGUUUGUUUCCGUUGCGGCUUGGUUGGGUUUCGAUUAUUCGUUUCCCGGCGUUUACUUUGAAAAAAUUAGAGGGCUUGAAGCAGGUUUUUGCCUUGAAUACUUUAACAUGGAAUAACGGAUAAGGACUUUGGUUCUAUUUUGUUGGUUUUAGGAGCCAGAAUAAUGGUUAAUAGGAACAGUUGGAGGCAUUCGUGUUUGACUGCCAGAGGUGAAAUUCUUAAAAGACGUACUUAGAAAGUUUAAAUUAUCCUUUCUUUUUUUAAAACGAUUUUAUCUACUACUCAUAUGCCGUACCCUUUUUUCUUUAGAAUAGCUUCCAUUAUUCUCUGAACCUAUCUCUUUUUUUUCACUUUUUCCUUUUUUUUUUUUAUAAGAGCUGGUCUUGCCCCUUUUUUUCCCGGGCUUUCUGUCAUUUAAAAGAAAACUUAACACGUGUUCGUCCCAGGGCUCAGUCUAUCCAGUCCGUACCAUACCUUUUGUGUUACUCCAAAACUAGCGCUUCCAAGAAACCAAUAGCNACUU